rnacentral:rRNA from 1 species
UACAGAGGGUGCGAGCGUUAAUCGGAAUUACUGGGCGUAAAGCGCGCGUAGGCGGCUUUGCAAGUCGGGUGUGAAAUCCCCAGGCUUAACCUGGGAACUGCAUUCGAGACUGCAUUGCUAGAGUAUGGGAGAGGGAAGUGGAAUUUCCGGUGUAGCGGUGAAAUGCGUAGAUAUCGGAAGGAACAUCAGUGGCGAAGGCGGCUUUCUGGGCCUUACCUGACGCUGAGACGCGAAAGCGUGGGGAGCGAACCGG